ensembl:lncRNA
UGUGUGUGUGUGUGUGUGAUGACCUAAGAUGAUUUUGGUGUUAUUUUCUUCUGUAGUAUCUGUGGAAUAAACUGCAGAUCAUUUUGUGGAUGGGUGUGUAAGAGAUCAGACUCAUCUGAUCCACCUUUGCAGCUCCAAUAUGGAUGACGCACAGACAUCCAGUGAUGGAGACUUUUGUCCAGGAAUCAGUUCAGUCAAGCCUAUGAGAACAGAAUCAGCAGAGCCCAGCUGUGUGUCAAUGAAGAGUGAUCAGUCUAUGAACCCACCACUGUUUUUUAAUGAUGGAAACACAUCAUCUAGCAGCAGAAAGAGAAAACACUGCAUGAAGAUGAAUCUACCAAAACCCAGCCAUGUUCCUGUGAAGAGGGACUGUUCAGUGGAUCAGCCAAUACUUUCCACUGGUGGAAACGCUGCCUGCUGUGUUGUCGUAGCACAUCCACACAGGAGAACAGAUACAUAAACUGUUUUCAGCCAUGAAGUCCUCAACACGUUUAAAUCAAAUCUGAAGAAUAAGUUUCAGUGCCUUUAUGAGGGAACAGCGACGCAGGGAAACCCAACACUCCUGAAUGAG